CUUUAACAACAGCAGCAACAACAAAAACUCCAGUCCAUCAUUGUAAACCCCAAAGAGCAGAGAACUUUUCACUUGUAUGGCAUGGCUCUUCUCCUGGACAAUGGCAGACACACUUGUGAUGAUAUAAACAAAGGCAUGGAACAUCUUAAUGCAGAAGACAGGAUUAAUGCAAUCCCUGAGAAGUAUGGUGACCUUCAAAAGACUGUUGAACAAUGUAGCAGGCACAAAUAAUCUUUUGGGAAGUGGAAUUCCUAG